UUGAGCCGUAUGCUCCUAAAGGCGCACGUACGGUUCUCAGGGGGCCGUACCGCAGCAAUGCGGUACGGCUACCCGAC
rfam:Burkholderia glathei PML1(12) contig00260, whole genome shotgun sequence.